ACCUAUAUGUGUUGCAUUCCAUUUAAAGCAUGAUGCGCAUGAUGUAUUAUUUUAUUGUUUGCGAAUGUUAAACAAGGAAAAAAUGAUACAUCACGCGUGAAACGAAAUGUGAAUAUUACAGCCAACAACAUGACUAAAUAAACCAAAUAUUUUGUGUAUCAAUUGGAGCUGGUUGUAGGAUUUUCAUCACAUUGUAAUUUUACAGUUAUUGUAACUGAUCUUAUCUUCUUUCUGUAAAAUACAAUGAGAUGUCCACAAA